rnacentral:tRNA from 1 species
GGGCCUAUAGCAUAACCUGGAUAGUUCCUGAAACUCCGGAAAGUGCGGCCGGCUUCGGACCGGUUGAUCAGGGUUCGAAUCCCUGUAGGCCCA